rnacentral:rRNA from 1 species
UGCUUACAACAUAACGUUGAUGCACCAGAUCCCAUUAGAACUCCGCAGUUAAGCGCACUUGGGCUAGAGUAGUACUGGGAUGGGUGACCACCGGGGAAGUCCUAGUAUUUUAAAUGC